rnacentral:rRNA from 1 species
GAUGAACGCUGGCGGCGUGCCUAAUACAUGCAAGUCGAGCGAACAGACGAGGAGCUUGCUCCUCUGACGUUAGCGGCGGACGGGUGAGUAACACGUGGAUAACCUACCUAUAAGACUGGGAUAACUUCGGGAAACCGUAGCUAAUACCGGAUAAUAUAUUGAACCGCAUGGUUCAAUAGUGAAAGACGGUUUUGCUGUCACUUAUAGAUGUAUCCGCGCCGCAUUAGCUAGUUGGUAAGGUAACGGCUUACCAAGGCAACGAUGCGUAGCCGACCUGAGAGGGUGAUCGGCCACACUGGAACUGAGACACGGUCCAGACUCCUACGGGAGGCAGCAGUAGGGAAUCUUCCGCAAUGGGCGAAAGCCUGACGGAGCAACGCCGCGUGAGUGAUGAAGGUCUUCGGAUCGUAAAACUCUGUUAUUAGGGAAGAACAAAUGUGUAAGUAAAUAUGCACGUCUUGACGGUACCUAAUCAGAAAGCCACGGCUAACUACGUG